rnacentral:lncRNA from 1 species
GCUGGCUUCCGUCACAUGAAGAUACGAGAAGUCUGUGGCCUGGAAGAGGGCCCUCACUCAACCAUGCUGGCACUCUGAUCUCAGACUCUACCAGCCUCCAGAACUGUGAGAGAGAAAUUUUUAUUGUUUACAAGCUGCCCAGUAUGUGAUAUUUUGUGACAGCAACCUGAACGGCCGAAGACACAAGAGGGCUCUUCAAGUACCUGGUCUACCAUCUGGUCAUGAGUGCAAGCAAACAAGAAGAUUAUCAUCCAAAAUUGUUACGUGCAAAGCACAAUUUACAAAGGCACAAGAUGCAGAAGACAGUGAGGAGGUCCAAGGGGAAGGAGGGAGCUGGCCUGGUAGUGCAACGGUGAAGUGCACACGUUCCACUUCUCAGCGGCCCGGGCUUUGCCAAUUCGGAUCCCAGGUGCGGACAUGGCACCGCUUGGCAAGCCAUGCUGUGGAGAAUAAAGACUUCUCAGACAAACAAAAAUAGGAGACCUGCCCUGCAAGAAAUGUUAAAGUUGUUCAGAGAGAAGAAAAUGAUCCAGGUCAGAAACUUUAUCUGCAUAAAGAAUGAGAAAGCAUCAGAGAAGGAAUAAACGAAGAAAUCCUGGUAUUGCAUGUGAAAAUCGUAAAGGACCUGAAUGAUGUUUGCUUCUUCAUUCCUUUGAAAAGAUUGGAUUUUCUCCUGGCAGAGGCACAUAGUUGUAUAUUCUAGUUUUGUGGCACGUGCAACGCCACCUCAGCAUGGCCUGAUGAGUGCUGCCAUGUCCGUGUCCAGGAUCUGAACCGGGGACACCCUGGGCCACUGAAGUGGAGCGCGGGAACUCAAGCACUCGGCCACGGGGCUGGCCCCAGUUUGUGGAUCAGGAGUCUGGCCAUGGGUUCUGCAAGGCUGCAAUCAAGGUUUUGGCUAGGACUGGGUUCUCACUUGGAAGUUCAACAUUGAAUGAAUUUGCUUUCAAGUUCACUCAGGUUGUUGCAGAAAUCAUCUCCUUGCACUUGUAAGACUGAAGGCUCUGACCUCUUUCUGGCUGCUGUUUAGAGGCUGUCUUCAACUCCUUGGCUCAUGGGCCUUCCAACAUAGUCACUUAUGUUCUCAAGCCAGGAAAGAGAGAGACACCAGAGUGAGCCUGUAAGCAAGAUGAAAUCUCUUACAACAUAAUCAUGGAAGUGACAUUUCACCACCUUUGCCCACUUCCAUUGGUUAGAAACAAGUCACAGGCAUCAUCCACACUCAGGGGGAGGGAAUUCUACAAAAGCAGGGAAUUAUACAAGGACA